CGCAAAUAUCGUUUGUUGCAAACAUCACAUUCAUAAGGUUUCUCUCCAGUGUGUGUUCUUUUAUGUUUAGUUAGGGUGCUUGGGUCAGAAAAUCUUUUGUUGCAAACAUCACAUUCAUACGGUUUCUCUCCAGUGUGUGUUCUUUUAUGUUUAGUUAGGGUGCUUGGGUCAGAAAAUCUUUUGUUGCAAACAUCACAUUCAUAAGGUUUCUCUCCAGUGUGUGUUCUUUUAUGUUUAGUUAGGGUGCUUGGGUCAGAAAAUCUUUUGUUGCAAACAUCACAUUCAUAAGGUUUCUCUCCAGUGUGUGUUCUUUUAUGUUUAGUUAGGGUGCUUGGGUCAGAAAAUCUUUUGUUGCAAACAUCACAUUCAUACAGUUUCUCUCCAGUGUGUGUUCUUUUAUGUUUAGUUAGGGUGCUUGGGUCAGAAAAUCUUUUGUUGCAAACAUCACAUUCAUAAGGUUUCUCUCCAGUGUGUGUUCUUUUAUGUUACCGCUAAGUGGCUUGACCGCGUGUUCUUUUAUGUUUAGUUAGGGUGCUUGGGUCAGAAAAUCUUUUGUUGCAAACAUCACAUUCAUAAGGUUUCUCUCCAGUGUGUGUUCUUCUAUGAACCCGCUAAGUGGCUUGACCGCAAAGAUCUCUUGUUGCAAACAUCACAUUCAUAAGGUUUGUCUCCAGUGUGUGUUCUCUUAUGAACCACCAAUUCGCUUGGUCUUACCCAUUCGCUUGGUCGUAAAAAUCUGUUGUUGCAAACAUCGCAUUCAUAAGGUUUGUCUCCAGUGUGUGUUCUCUUAUGACCUGCUAAGUGGCUUGACUGCGAAAAUCUUUUGUUGCAAACAUCACAUUCAUAAGGUUUGUCUCCAG